GCCGGGAAUGGAAAGCCCGGUGCAAGCGGGGUACCAGCCACUUUGGCAAAUCCGGGUGGCAAUGGGAAGCCGUGAUGCGGAGCGAAAUAAAGUAGCGAAGUCCGUGAGCCAUGCGUCAAGAAAAGCCGCUAUUGUUUAUACCGUACCCGUACCGUAAACCGACACAGGUGGAUGAGGAGAGAAUCCUAAGGCCGGCGGAAGAAGCAUUGUCAAGGAACUCGGCAAAAUGGCCCCGUAACCUAGGGAUAAGGGGUGCCUGGGAAACCAGGCCGCAGAGAAUAGGCUCAAGCAACUGUUUAGCAAAAACACAGGUCUAUGCAAAACCGAAAGGUGAGGUAUAUGGGCUGACGCCUGCCCGGUGCUGGAAGGUUAAGAGGAGAGGUUAGCGGUAACGCGAAGCUUUGAAUUUAAGCCCCAGUAAACGGCGGCCGUAACAAUAACGGUCCUAAGGUAGCGAAAUUCCUUGUCGGGUAAGUUCCGACCCGCACGAAAGGCGUAAUGAUUUGAGCGCUGUCUCGACAAUGCAUCCGGUGAAAUUGAAGUACCAGUGAAGAUGCUGGUUACCUGCGCCAGGACGGAAAGACCCCAUGGAGCUUUACUCCAGUCUGGUACUGGGACUCGGUAUUGCAUGUACAGGAUAGGUGGGAGGCUAGGAGAUGGUAACGCCAGUUGCCAUGGAGCCGCUGUUGGGAUACCACCCUUGCAGUAUUGGGUUUCUAACCAGCCGCCGUGACCCGGCGGUGGGACAAUGCCAGACGGGGAGUUUGACUGGGGCGGUCGCCUCCGAAAGGGUAUCGGAGGCGCCCAAAGGUUCCCUCAGAAUGGACGGAAACCAUUCGAAGAGUGCAAAGGCAGAAGGGAGCUUGACUGCGACACCGACGGGUGGAGCAGGUACGAAAGUAGGGCUUAGUGAUCCGGUGGUAUUAAGUGGGAAUGCCAUCGCUCAACGGAUAAAAGCUACCCUGGAUAACAGGCUUAUCACUCCCAAGAGUUCACAUCGACGGAGUGGUUUGGCACCUCGAUGUCGGCUCAUCGCAUCCUGGGGCUGUAGUAGGUCCCAAGGGUUGGGCUGUUCGCCCAUUAAAGCGGUACGCGAGCUGGGUUCAGAACGUCGUGAGACAGUUCGGUCCCUAUCCGGCGUGGGCGUAGGAUAUCUGAGAGGAGCUGUCCUUAGUACGAGAGGACCGGGAUGGACGGGCCGCUGGUGCAUCGGUUAGACUGCCAAGUCUACGGCCGAGUAGCCAAGCCCGGAAGGGAUAAACGCUGAAGGCAUCUAAGCGUGAAGCCCCCCUUAAGAUGAGAUAUCCCAUUCGUUAAGAAGUAAACCCCCUUGAAGACGACGAGGUAGAUAGGGCAGAGGUGGAAGUGCAGCAAUGCAUGGAGCUGACUGUUACUAAUCGGGUGAGGGCUUGACC
rnacentral:rRNA from 1 species